rnacentral:tRNA from 1 species
GUCCUCGUAGCUCAAUGGAUAGAGCAAAUCCGUCCUAAGGAUGAGAUGGGGGUUCAACUCCCUCCGGGGACA